GAUGAACGCUGGCGGCGUGCCUAAUACAUGCAAGUCGAGCGAACAGACGAGGAGCUUGCUCCUCUGACGUUGGCGGCGGACGGGUGAGUAACACGUGGAUAACCUACCUAUAAGACUGGGAUAACUUCGGGAAACCGGAGCUAAUACCGGAUAAUAUAUUGAACCGCAUGGUUCAAUAGUGAAAGACGGUUUUGCUGUCACUUAUAGAUGGAUCCGCGCCGCAUUAGCUAGUUGGUGAGGUAACGGCUUACCAAGGCAACGAUGCGUAGCCGACCUGAGAGGGUGAUCGGCCACACUGGAACUGAGACACGGUCCAGACUCCUACGGGAGGCAGCAGUAGGGAAUCUUCCGCAAUGGGCGAAAGCCUGACGGAGCAACGCCGCGUGAGUGAUGAAGGUCUUCGGAUCGUAAAGCUCUGUUAUUAGGGAAGAACAAAUGUGUAAGUAACUAUGCACGUCUUGACGGUACCUAAUCAGAAAGCCACGGCUAACUACGUG
rnacentral:rRNA from 1 species